rnacentral:rRNA from 1 species
GUCUGGUGCCAGCAGCCGCGGUAAUUCCAGCUCCAAUAGCGUAUAUUAAAGUUGUUGCAGUUAAGAAGCUCGUAGUUGAAUUUCUGCCUUAUCAUUAAUUUCGCUUCCGAACGUAAUUUUAUUGAUUUGGCAUCUUCUGGAUUAUAUAUUAUUUUUAAUAUAUUUUUCCAGUAUUUUACUUUGAGAAAACUAGAGUGUUUCAAACAGGCUUUUGCCUUGAAUACUACAGCAUGGAAUAAUGAAGUAGGACUAUUGGUUCUAUUUUGUUGGUUAUCGAACCAUAGUAAUGGUUAAUAGGAGCAGUUGGGGGCAUUCGUAUUUAACUGUCAGAGGUGAAAUUCUUAGAUUUGUUAAAGACGAACUACUGCGAAAGCAUUUGCCAAGGAUGUUUUCAUUAAUCAAGAACGAAAGUUAGGGGAUCGAAGACGAUCAGAUACCGUCGUAGUCCUAA